AAAGUACUCCCUCCAUCCCAAAAUUCUUGUCUUAGAUUUGUCUAGAUACGGAUGUAUCAAGUCACAUUUUAGUAUUAGAUACAUCCGUAUCUAGACAAAUCUAAGACAAGAAAUUUGGAACAGAGGGAGUAGUUG
rfam:Triticum aestivum genome assembly, contig: Triticum_aestivum_CS42_TGACv1_scaffold_030578_1BL